AACGAACGCUGGCGGCGUGCUUAACACAUGCAAGUCGAACGAGAAAGCUCUUUCGGGAGCGAGUAAAGUGGCGCACGGGUCAUUAACACGUGGAUAAUCUGCCUUUAGGAGAAGGGCAACCUGUCGAAAGACGGGCUAAUCCUUCAUAAGACCACAGUACCUUCGGGUACAGAGGUAAAAAGUGGCCUCUAUUUAUAAGCUAUUGCCUAAAGAUGAGUCCGCGCACCAUUAGCUAGUGGCGGGGUAAGGCCCACCAAGGCAAAGAUGGUUAGCUGGUCUGAGAGGACGAUCAGCGACACUGGAACUGAGACACGGUCCAGACUCCUACGGGAGGCAGCAGUGGGGAAUUUUGGACAAUGGGCGAAAGCCUGAUCCAGCAACGCCGCGUGAGUGAUGAAGGCC
rnacentral:rRNA from 1 species